CUCAAGGUCGGUGAGCGGAAAACGAGAAAGAACAGUAAAGCAGUGGUAUCUAUUUGCGCUCACUUUCACGUAGGAAGCUGAAGAUAACAAAAGCGACAACGCCCGCCAGUGAUGUUGCCACAACGGUAUGAAAAACCCCAAGGAUCAGCGACCGUACACAUGCUCAGACAUUGCUUUACUUGGAUACUUGCGAUUACGUUUCUCGCUGUGCUGGCCAUGUGUGCUGAAGGUGCACGAAAUGUUACAGGAAGAAGUUAUAACUACGACUUCACCCAUUACACAGCGGCGCCCAUCACCCAAGAAUAUUGCAAGGAAUUUGUUUGCGAAACGAGUAUGUGUCCACGCGGUUGUGUGUGUCCCAGAGGUUUGAGGAGAAUUUUCACCUUUGGCCUUCUACACUGUGAACUACCCUGAAGUCUUGUCGGCAUAUUAAAUAAUGUAAAGGGCGGCGAUGUUUCAGUUUGUCUUUAACUCUGUGUCAACAGCUCUCACGUCUUGUUGAAGCAGGCUGUAUUUGGCACCAACAGGCACAAGCGAUUCACGUUGUAAUUCACAUUCUUUUGUUUCGGGCAUGCCGGGGUAAAAAGCUUGACAGCGGUAAUAUAAUAGCUGGUGGUAUUGGUUAUAUACGUGGACAUAUUUUUUUUUUCGCACUGCUGGAAAUGUGUUUUCUAUUCAGCAGGAACCACGUCGCGGUCGGGCUUCCCAAAAACACUGAAUGGGAAUUUUUCCAUUCUAAAGGGUCCAUUAUAUGUAAAUGCCUCAUCCAAUUGCACCGCAGCCUGUUUCUAAGCACACACUUUCAUACGAACCGUACGUUUUAAAGUUUGAAAUGGGCCGUUGCUUUGAAAGCCAGUGAACCUGGGAAUGAAAACUUACGUUAUAUAAGUUUUAAAAAGAAGGUCGCGUUACCACUUUUUGAGAACUAUACACGCGUCCACGCCAUCAGAAUUGUUCGCGUACACCUAUGUGCG